UUUUUUAAUUUUAUUUUAUUUAAUAAUAACUUUGUAUUGACAGAAUCCAUGCCAGGAUAAUUUUUACACAACAUUAUCCCUUGCAAUCACUUAUGUUUCGUUUUUUCCCCUCCCUCCCUCCUCCCCCCCCCCCCCAGGAUGGCAAGCAGUCCUAGAUAUGUUAAAUAUGUUGCAGUAUAUCUAGAUACAAUACAUAUUUGCAGAACCGAACAGUUCUCUUGUUGCACAGGGAGAAUUGGAUUCAGAAGGUAAAAAUAACUCGGGAAGAAAAUCAAAAAUGCAAAUAGUUCACAUUCAUUUCCCAGUAUUCCUUCUUUGGGUGUAGCUGUUUCUGUCCAUCAUUUCUCCAAUGAAACUCAGUUAAGUCUCUUUGUCAGAGAAAUCCACUUCCAUCAGAAUACAUCCUCACACAAUAUCGUUGUCGAGGUGUAUAAUGAUCUCCUGGUUCUGCUCAUCUCACUCAGCAUCAGUCCAUGUAGGUCUCUCCAAGCCUCUCUGUAUUCAUCCUGCUGGUCAUUCCUUACAGAGCAAUAAUAUUCCAUAACAUUCAUAUACCACAAUUUACCCAGCCAUUCUCCAAUUGAUGGGCAUCCAUUCAUUUUCCAGUUUCUAGCCACUACAAACAGGGCUGCUACAAACAUUUUGGCACAUACAGGUCCACUUCCCUUUUUUAGUAUCUCUUUGGGGUAUAAGCCCAAUAGAAACACUGCUGGAUCAAAGGGUAUGCACAGUUUGAUAACUUUUUGGGCAUAAUUCCAGAUCGCUCUCCAGAAUGGCUGGAUUCGUUCACAACUCCACCAACAAUGCAUCAGUGUCCCCGUUUUCCCGCAUCCCCUCCAACAUUCAUCAUUAUUUUUUCCUGUCAUCUUAGCCAAUCUGACAGGUGUGUAGUGAUAUCUCAGAGUUGUCUUAAUUUGCAUUUCUCUGAUCAAUAGUGAUUUGGAGCACUCUUUCAUGUGAGUGGUAAUAGUUUCAAGGAAAUAAAAUAUUUAAAUAGUCCUUUUUUGGAAAAAGAAAUUGAACAAGGCAUUAAUAAACUCCUAAGAAAAAAUAUGCAGAGCCACAUAGAUUUGUAAACUAUUUGGCAAAAUAGGUAAGGAAGGAGUGCUUCCAAAUUCCUUCUGUGACACAAAUAUGGCACUGAUACUUAAACUAGGAAGGGCCAAAACAGAGAGAGGUAAUUACACACCAAUCUCCUUAAUGAAUAUUGAUACAAAAUUUUUAAAUAAAAUAUUUGUGAAAAGAUUACAGCAAUUUAUCAGCAGGACAAUACACUAUGAAAAAGUGGGAUUUGUAUGAGGAAUGAAGGGCUAGUUCAGUAUCAGGAAAACUAUUACUAUAAUCAACCAUAUCAAUAACAGAACCAGCAGAAAUCAUAUACUAAUCUCAAUAGAUGCAGAAAAAGCUUUUGACAAGAUACAGCACCCAUUCUUAUUAAAAAUACUAGAAAGCAUAGGAAUGAAGGAAGCUAUACUUAAAAUAGCAAGCAGUAUCUAUCUAAAACCUACAGCAAGCAUUAUUUAUAAUGGAGAGAAGCUGAAUGCAUUCCCAAUAAGAUGAGAGAUGAAACAAGGAUCAUUAUCAUCACUAUUAUUCAACAUUGUACUAGAAAUGUUGCCUUUUGCAAUAAGAAAAGAAAAAAAAAGGUGUUAGAAUAGGCAAUGAGGAAAUAAAACUAUCACUCUUUGCAGACGAUCUGAUGAUAUAAUUAGAUAAUCCUAGAAAAUCAUCCAAAAACCUACGGGGAAAAAAUUCACAGCUUUAGCAAUGUUGCAAAAUAUAAAACAAACCACACAAAUCAUCAGCAUUUCUAUAUAUUACUGACAAAGCCCAUAAGCAAGAAAUGGAAAGAGAAAUUUCAUUUAAAAUUACUGUAGACAAAAUUAAAUACUUGGGGGUCUACCUGCCAAGAGAAAUCUAAGAAAUAUAUGAACACAAUUACAAAACACUUUUCACAAAUAAAAUCAGAUCUAAACAUUUGGAAAAAUUGUCAACUGUUCAUGGCUAGGCUGAGCUAAUAUAAAAAAAAUCCUUCAAAACGUCUGCUUUCUUCAGUGUCUUACUGAAGAUGGCUUCAUCAUCUUCAAAUAAAACUUCCAAAAUAUUAUUUUAUAGGACUAAAAACAAAACAAAACAAAAUUUAUCUGGAAGAACAAAAGGUCAAGAAUAAACAUGGAAUUAAUGAAAAAAGUACAAAAAAUGGUGGCAUAGUGGUAUUAAACCUAAAACUAUAUUAUAAAGUAGCAAUAAUGAAAAUCAUUUGGUACAGGCUAAGAAAUAGAGUGGUGGAUCAGUGGAAUAGAUUAGAUACACAUGGCACAAUAAUCAAAGCCUAUAGCAGUCUGUUAUUUGAUAAAUCCGCAAAGUCCAACUUCUAGAGUAAGAACUCAGUAUUUGACAAAAAUUGCUGGGAAAACUAAGCUUGACAUAGACAUACAUCUCAUACCCCAUGCCAAAAUAGGAUUAAAAUGGAUACAUGAUUUGCACAUAAAGAAUGAUACCAUAAACAAAUUAGGAGAACAAAGGAUAAUUUAUCUAUCAGAUCUUUUGGAGAAGGGAGGAAUUUAUAACCAAAGAACUAGAGAACAUUAUGAAAGGCAAAAUGAACAACUUUGAUUACAUUAAGUUAAAAAGAUUUUACACACAAAAACCCAACAGAAACAAGAUUAAAAGGGAAGUUCAAAGCAAGAAAAAAUCUUUGCAGCCAGUAUUUCUCAGAAAGGUUUCAUUUUUAACAUAUAUAAAGAACUGUAUCAAAUUGACAAGAAUACAUGUAAUUCACAAUUGAUAAAUGUUCAAAGGAUUUGAACAAUUUUCAGAUGAUGAAAUUAAUAUCAUUUAUAGUUAUAUGAAAAAAUGCUCCAAAUCACUAUUGAUAAGAGAAAUGCAAAUUAAACAUCUCUGAGUUGUGAAAUGACCUAAACAUUCAGGAGAGCAAUUUGGAACUAUGUUCAAAAGGCUAUAAAACUGUACAUAUUUUUUGACCCAGCAGUGCCAUUACUGGGUCUGUAUCCCAAGGAAAUCAUAAAGAAGGAAAAGGACACACAUUUGUAAAAAUGUUUGGAGCAGCUCUUUUUGUGGUAGCAAAGAAUUGGAAAAAGAGUUCAUUCCCAUCAGUUGGGGAAUGGCUGAGCAAGGUAAUGGAAUAUUACUGUUCUAUAAAAAAAAAAAAAAAAAAAAAAAAAAAAAAAAAAAGAUGAACACGAUGAUUAUAAAAUUAUAAAAUGGCCUGGAAAGAUUUACAUGAACUGAUACUGAGUGAAACAACAGGAACAGGAAUACAUUGUACACAAUAACAGCAAGAGUGUGCAAUGAUCAUCUCUGAAAGACUUAGUUCUUCUCAAUAGUUCAGUGAUCCAAAGCAAUCCCAAUUAAUCAAUUAAUAUUGGAUCGAAAAUGCCACUUGCAUCCAGAAAAAGAUGUAAGGAAACUGAAUGUAAAUCAAUACAUGCUGUGUUUACUUCUCUUUUCUGAUUUUUUUUCUCCUUUAUUUUUGCCUUUUGUUCUGAUUUUUCUCUCUUAUAUAUGAUUCAUAAAACAAUGUGUAUUAAAAAUAAACUUACUACAGUAAAAAUAAUGAUAUCUCCAACUAAUUAUGGUAUGAGCCAAGGAACUGACUAAAAAACAAAGUUCCUGACAAAGGGGUCCAGACCUAAACUGGCCUAGAGAG